AUGAAUCCUCGUAUUGACUCUCUGAGCUUUGGAGAGGAACGUCCGGUGGGUGUCAGCGAGUCUUUGCAAGCACCAGGUCACCUACUGCUGCUUCCCAGGAAGGAGGAGGUUCCCACGGAUUAUCAUCCCUUUCCGUGGGGUCCGGAAGGAGCCCCCCAGCCCAUUGCAGGGAGCUUGCGGCAGCCUCGUCCGUCUCCGUGUUCAGAGGCAACGCGCAAUGCCGGGCAGGAGGAGGCGAGCGUGACUGUCCCCGGCCGAGCGCGGCGCAGCCCCGAACAGAUGGCGCGGCGGAGCCAUGCCGUGGCCUCCGACAGCAAACACCAGGCCCCAUUGUUUCCUGCGAAAAGAGGGAUCGCGGAGCCAGCAGAGGAGACCUUCUGGAAGUGGGAGAAGCACAUUGCAGUGAGAUCUCUGGGUUCGCCUCGUUUUAACCCAGAGCAUGGGCAGGAUGGGUGCAGAACAGGCCAGUGCCUGGGACCAGGUGUGAGGAGCAGGUUUGCCAAGCUCUGUUUCAAGCACAAAUUGCUCUGGCUGUGAUUCCCCCAUUCAGCACUGACUGUCCAGCUGUUCCCUCCCUCCCUGCUCAGAUGGAGAAGUAUAAAUGUUCGCUACUAAUAGCCUCACCACCAGCCCUUCAAAACCGUUUUCCUAGCCGUAUCCUUUGAUUAUUAUUUUUAUUCCUUUUUUCUGAGAGUGUUGUCUUUAAAGUGAGAUUUUCUUUGGUUAGCAAUAGCUCACAGUUAGUAUUUCCUUUGGGGAUGGAGGGCUGUGGAAAGGGAGCAGCGGGGGAGUGCUGAAAGCAGGCUCCCAGGGGACGUCGCUGGCCUUUUUGGGAAGCCACGGCAGCCAGCAGGGCUCGUUCUUGGUGUGCAGCGAAGGCAUCGGGCUCCCGUUCCGGCGCAUGGAUGUGGCAUGGAGCAGAUUCAGCUCCUUCGGUCAUUCUCUGUUUUUGCAGACAACAGACUAAACAGUCUACAGUGGGGCAAUUACCUUAAUAAAGAUAAUUUCAGCUUUGCUGGAGUGAUUUAA
ensembl:lncRNA